rnacentral:misc_RNA from 1 species
AACAAUUUUACCCAGUUAUGGGGAGCUGUUAAGCAGCCUAGCGUUCUACUUCCCACCUUAUUUAUUUUUUUAUGGCAGGCUACGCCACAGUCAGAUUCUGCUAUGUUUUUCUUCACGACAAACAAACUUGGUUUCACUCCGGAAUUCCUUGGUCGUGUUAAGCUUGUCACUUCAGUUGCGUCACUUAUUGGUGUGGGGCUUUAUAAUGGGUUUUUAAAGAAAGUUCCUCUACGGAAGAUAUUCCUCGUAAUGACUCUCAUUGGUACAGCUCUUGGUAUGACACAGGUUCUUCUUGUGACUGGAUUGAACCGGCAGUUUGGCAUUAGUGAUGAGUGGUUUGCUAUUGGAGAUUCCUUGAUUAUAACUGUUCUGGGUCAGGCAUCUUUCAUGCCUGUUUUAG